rnacentral:sRNA from 1 species
ACACCGGACUAUGUCGUACAUACAUAGCAAAUAGUACAGCACAACAAGGCUUGGAGAGGAAAAAAACCCCCGUGCUUACAGAACCAAUGAUGGCCGGUGGACUGCGUACUGUGUAUCACCAGAGGCCGUUUGAACCAGCAACUGGGUUCCCGCCGUUGAUCUCGUUGGGUUGUGAUCGGCCGUGGGCCAGGGGGCGAACAUGCUACUAAUAAUAAUAAUGCAAUCUCCACUACGACUGAGCCGUUGUUUUCAGCUUCGGACGCGAAGCUCCAUCUGCCAUCCGCUCAUUGGAGGCGGCGGUAGCUAGGUUCAGUUUUGAACGCUGUGCCGAGUUCGGAAUUGGAUGUGCA